rnacentral:ribozyme from 1 species
CACGUCAAAUGAGAGUGGAGAGAUGUUCAUAAACAAAUAUGUAGAUACUAAAAAACGGAAAAAAAAAAUUAUAUUUUUUUUUUUCUUGCUUUUUUUUUUUUUUUUUUUUUUUUUUUUU